UAUUUUAAAACGGCCAGUUUCGAAAUAACCAAAGAAAACAACGAUUCUAAACCGGAACGUGCCUGAAGGAAUCAAUUGUAGUUCUCUUUUAUAGCGGUUUAAAAUGUAUCUGAAAGUAUAUACAGACGUUUGCAAUAAUUUAAUCACAGACGUAGAAAUAUAACCAAAAUUCACGACGACCAUUGCAUUGAUAGAGCAGUUGUUUAAAUAAAAGAGCAGCAUCAGUUUUGGAAAUGUCACAUUUUAUAUUUGUGUCAGUUUUUAGUUAAGUAUAUGGAAAACUACAAGCGGCGUGUAUUUCAGUAUGCUAACGUGACGUUUUUCAGCAGGUUUCAUUUGAUUUUAUGAAGCAGAAUUAGUUAACACUCAAUUCAACCCCUCGACAGCAGUUCUACUAAAUGUCCACACGAGGGCAGCAUUGGAUAGGAAAUGAAAGCUAAAGUCUCGUCUGUCUCCCUGAAGUUCGCUACCAAUUUUAAAGAGCUGAGGACAGCUCAGCCGGAGGCGUGUGUCUGUGUGAAACGACUUUAUUUAAUGUGAUAAGUUUGUGGAAGAAGGACGCCAUGUUAGGAGGCGUUUGCUAUUGUUUUACACAGACUACGAGGGACAGCGCUCGUUAAACCAGGUCUGUGAGGAUGAGAAGGUCUCCACAGUCUGGAGUCUGGUCUCUGACAGGCUCAACAUACCUGUCAAUCAACAGGGGACUCCUCUACAAAGGCAAGGUGCUGGCAGGUAGGCUGAACAGCACAGCACAGCUCACCCCUCCUCUCACGCCUCGCCUCACCCCGGGUCAGUGUGGCACAGCCUGCCUGCUCUUCUGAACAAACACUUCAGCCCUGCCGACGCAGUGAGAGUCUGGAGCAGCUACACAAGGAUUACGAGCGGAGGCUGCGCUUGUUGAGCCUGGAUGAUAUGGAGCGGCUGGCGACUCGCAUGCUUCACCCUGAGGCUGUGGAGUGCAUGGAGCUGUCCUUCCUGGACUGAGGAAUACUGCUGCUGCCCUCUCCACCUCUCCCCUCUCCCCUCUCCCCCCUCUUCUCCUCCCCCUCUCCCCUCUCCUCUCCUCUCCACCUCUCUCCUCCCCCCUCUCCCCUCUUCUCCCCCUCUCUCAUCCCAGGUGCAGCUGGGACAGGCCAGUGUGGACCUGUGAUAGUCAGGGAGGAGAGGUGCAGUCGGGACCGGCCAGUGUGGAGCUGUGAUAGUCAGGGAGAGGAGGUGCAGCUGGGACAGGCCAGUGUGGAGCUGUGAUAGUCAGGGAGGAUUACGAGCGGAGGCUGCGCUUGUUGAGCCUGGAUGAUAUGGAGGAGGCCAUCAGCAUAGCCACUGCGCCACCAGCUCCCACAGGAAAGCUUUGGUUCACACUAUAUAUAAGCUUAAUUAACACAUUCUUUGAAACAAGCAAAGAACUCACCUUGAUUUGAACCCAGUCCAUCUCACUUCCUUGGAGGAGUCUGCUUUUUCAUUGCCUUAUAUAAGAAAUUAACCAAGUCUUUGAAAACAAAGGAGGGACUCACCGGGAUUUGAUCCCAGUCCCCCAAGGUGGACAGCACAGCAUGCUAGUGAACUAGCCCACUGCACCACCUGUCUGCACGUGACAAUCUAGCAUUCCACAGAAGCCGUUAUAUCAUCCUCUUUAUAUUAUUAUUUGUAUGAUACCACUGACCCCUUGUGUUACGUAAACACAAGUCUAUCAAAAUGGGUAAAGUGUUUGAAAAUGAAAAGGAAACACCUGCCCAAAAUGGGUUUGAACCCGCUACCCAGGGAAUCAUGUGUCCCUGCUGUAUCAACAAAGCUAUCCAGCUGACUGGUGUUCCUGUUGUUUGAAACACAUUAUUACAUUUUGUGGUGAUGACCUGGGGGCUAAGGUGAUUCAGCUUUGUUUCAUUUGUGAUGAAAUGGAUUCAAAGCCAAACCUUAUAAACAGGUAAGUUUAACAAAAAUUUUGAAAUUGAUGGAUUAACACUUGUGCUUUACAUGUGACUUGAAGCAACAACCUUGGAAGUCAGAGUCCAGUGCUCUACCAACUGAGCCAGCCAGAGAUCUGCUCUCUCCUGCUGUCAAAUGACCUCCAGUACAUUAACUAAUGAUUUGUACAAAAUGCAGAUCAUUGGAAAUAUCCAAUAAAAGAGUCACUUCUAUCAGUCUGCAGCUUGGAUUUGAUCCCAGUCGCUCAAGGUAAAGAGCAUUUAAGCACAGGGACCGACCCAACUGCACCACCUACCAGCUGUCCCUGAUGUUAGGUUUACAUUGCCUACAAGGUAAAUUAAGCAACUUGAAAAAAAAAACCCAGAAAAACGCAUUGUGAACAGGGUUUGGACCACCAACCCUGGAAAUCAGGACCCUGUGCUCUACCAACUGAGCCAUUCUGCAAGCUGUACCACUGCACUCAUUUGUGACUUGAACUGGACUAAUGAUUUGUACAACACGGAGAUGAUUACUGCAUUGAAAAUAUCUAAAAUAAAAGAGUCACUUCUAUUGUAUUUUUGACAGAGUCAUACAAAUAUGGGCAGCAGUGUGGAGUAGUGGUUAGGGCUCUGGACUCUUGACCGGAGGGUUGUGGGUUGAAGCCCAGGUGGGGGACGCUGCUGCUGUACCCUUGAGCAAGGUACUUUACCUAGAUUGCUCCAGUAAAAAACCCAACUGUAUAAGUGGGGAAUUGUAUGUAAAGAAUAAUGUGAUAUCUUGCAACAAUUGUAAGUCGCCCUGGAUAAGGGCGUCUGCUAAGA